GACGAACGCUGGCGGCGUGCUUAACACAUGCAAGUCGAGCGGUAAGGCCCUUCGGGUACGACGAGCGGCGAACGGGUGAGUAACACGUGGGUGACCUGCCUCUAGCUCUGGGAUAAGCCUGGGAAACUGGGUCUAAUACCGGAUAUGACUCCACGGCGCAUGUUGUGGGGUGGAAAGCCUUGUGUGGCUAGAGAUGGGCCCGCGGCCUAUCAGCUUGUUGGUGGGGGAUGGCCUACCAAGGCGACGACGGGUAGGCCGGCCUGAGAGGGCGACCGGCCACACUGGGACUGAGACACGGCCCAGACUCCUACGGGAGGCAGCAGUGGGGAAUCUUGGACAAUGGAGGAAACUCUGAUCCAGCCAUGCCGCGUGAGUGAUGAAGGCC
rnacentral:rRNA from 1 species